CGAAUGCUGACAUAAGUAACGAUAAAGCGGGUGAAAAGCCCGCUCGCCGGAAGACCAAGGGUUCCUGUCCAACGUUAAUCGGGGCAGGGUGAGUCGACCCCUAAGGCGAGGCCGAAAGGCGUAGUCGAUGGGAAACAGGUUAAUAUUCCUGUACUUGGUGUUACUGCGAAGGGGGGACGGAGAAGGCUAUGUUGGCCGGGCGACGGUUGUCCCGGUUUAAGCGUGUAGGCUGGUUUUCCAGGCAAAUCCGGAAAAUCAAGGCUGAGGCGUGAUGACGAGGCACUACGGUGCUGAAGCAACAAAUGCCCUGCUUCCAGGAAAAGCCUCUAAGCAUCAGGUAACAUCAAAUCGUACCCCAAACCGACACAGGUGGUCAGGUAGAGAAUACCAAGGCGCUUGAGAGAACUCGGGUGAAGGAACUAGGCAAAAUGGUGCCGUAACUUCGGGAGAAGGCACGCUGAUAUGUAGGUGAAGUCCCUCGCGGAUGGAGCUGAAAUCAGUCGAAGAUACCAGCUGGCUGCAACUGUUUAUUAAAAACACAGCACUGUGCAAACACGAAAGUGGACGUAUACGGUGUGACGCCUGCCCGGUGCCGGAAGGUUAAUUGAUGGGGUUAGCGCAAGCGAAGCUCUUGAUCGAAGCCCCGGUAAACGGCGGCCGUAACUAUAACGGUCCUAAGGUAGCGAAAUUCCUUGUCGGGUAAGUUCCGACCUGCACGAAUGGCGUAAUGAUGGCCAGGCUGUCUCCACCCGAGACUCAGUGAAAUUGAACUCGCUGUGAAGAUGCAGUGUACCCGCGGCAAGACGGAAAGACCCCGUGAACCUUUACUAUAGCUUGACACUGAACAUUGAGCCUUGAUGUGUAGGAUAGGUGGGAGGCUUUGAAGUGUGGACGCCAGUCUGCAUGGAGCCGACCUUGAAAUACCACCCUUUAAUGUUUGAUGUUCUAACGUUGACCCGUAAUCCGGGUUGCGGACAGUGUCUGGUGGGUAGUUUGACUGGGGCGGUCUCCUCCUAAAGAGUAACGGAGGAGCACGAAGGUUGGCUAAUCCUGGUCGGACAUCAGGAGGUUAGUGCAAUGGCAUAAGCCAGCUUGACUGCGAGCGUGACGGCGCGAGCAGGUGCGAAAGCAGGUCAUAGUGAUCCGGUGGUUCUGAAUGGAAGGGCCAUCGCUCAACGGAUAAAAGGUACUCCGGGGAUAACAGGCUGAUACCGCCCAAGAGUUCAUAUCGACGGCGGUGUUUGGCACCUCGAUGUCGGCUCAUCACAUCCUGGGGCUGAAGUAGGUCCCAAGGGUAUGGCUGUUCGCCAUUUAAAGUGGUACGCGAGCUGGGUUUAGAACGUCGUGAGACAGUUCGGUCCCUAUCUGCCGUGGGCGCUGGAGAACUGAGGGGGGCUGCUCCUAGUACGAGAGGACCGGAGUGGACGCAUCACUGGUGUUCGGGUUGUCAUGCCAAUGGCACUGCCCGGUAGCUAAAUGCGGAAGAGAUAAGUGCUGAAAGCAUCUAAGCACGAAACUUGCC
rnacentral:rRNA from 1 species